rnacentral:rRNA from 1 species
AUACGUAGGGGGCGAGCGUUGUCCGGAAUGAUUGGGCGUAAAGGGCGCGUAGGCGGCGCGGUAAGUCUGGAGUGAAAGUCCUGCUUUCAAGGUGGGAAUUGCUUUGGAUACUGCCGCGCUUGAGUGCAGGAGAGGUUAUCGGAAUUCCCGGUGUAGCGGUGAAAUGCGUAGAGAUCGGGAGGAACACCAGUGGCGAAGGCGGGUAACUGGCCUGCAACUGACGCUGAGGCACGAGAGUGUGGGGAGCAAACAGGGGUAGAUUCCCUGGUAGUCCACACUGUAAACGAUGAAUGCUAGGUGUAAGAGGUAUCGACCCCUUUUGUGCCGGAGUCAACACAAUAAGCAUUCCGCCUGGGGAGUACGGCCGCAAGGUUGAAACUCAAAGGAAUUGGCGGGG